UACGGGGGGGGCAAGCGUUGUUCGGAAUUACUGGGCGUAAAGGGUUUGUAGGUGGCUUGCUAAGUCAGACGUGAAAUCCCUCAGCUUAACUGGGGAACUGCGUCUGAGACUGGCGAGCUUGAGUGCAGGAGAGGAACGCGGAAUUCCAGGUGUAGCGGUGAAAUGCGUAGAUAUCUGGAGGAACACCGGUGGCGAAGGCGGCGUUCUGGACUGCAACUGACACUGAGAAACGAAAGCCAGGGGAGCAAACGGG
rnacentral:rRNA from 1 species